UACGGGGGGAGCAAGCGUUGUUCGGAUUUACUGGGCGUAAAGGGCGGUUAGGCGGCCACCGCAAGUCAGUUGUGAAAUCUCCGGGCUUAACCCGGAAAGGUCAACUGAUACUGCGGGGCUAGAGUGCAGAAGGGGCAACUGGAAUUCUCGGUGUAGCGGUGAAAUGCGUAGAUAUCGAGAGGAACACCUGCGGCGAAGGCGGGUUGCUGGGCUGACACUGACGCUGAACUGCGAAAGCUAGGGGAGCGAACGGG
rnacentral:rRNA from 1 species